GAAAUGCCAAGUGUUUCCAUGCUAAGAGGUGAAUGAUUUUAACCCGUAAAAUGGAGAUGUGAUUGUGCUAUUAUCAAGGAUUUAUUUUUAAAUUGAUUACUUCAUAGUCAAGUAGUUAAGCAGAGGGACUCUGGAGCCCACACAGCCUGAGUUCAAAUCCCGGCCCAGCACUUAUCAGCUGUUUGAUCUUAGGAGCUGUGUGAUCUUGGGCACGUUUUUUGAUCUUUCUGUACCUCAGUUUCUAAUCUAUAAAAUGGGCAUAGUAGGACCUCCUCGCAGGGUAUGUGAGGAUUAAAUGCACGUCUCAGAAGAGUACCUAGACUCUUAGAACAGUACGCACUAUACAAGUGUCAGUAAUUAUUAUUAUUGUUGUUAUUUUAAUGCUCUCCAAGCAGCAUCAUUUGGUAGAAUGAUGCUAAUUUAAAGUUUUAUCUUGAAUGUCAUUUUCUUUCACUCUUGUCAGGUAUCUUGGUGACUGUAUAUAUAUUUUCUUUUGCAGAUCAUUUCAAAAUUCUACACUUGAGGCCCUUUGUGAACUGAGACCUGGGCCAGAAUGGUCUCUUGGCUCCCCUGGUGAAACAGGAUGCCUGCCCCUGCUUCUGAGAGUGGAACCCAGGCUUGAUCAGCAUGAAACUGCAGGGGAACCCAACCAAAUGUCCACAGGAAGACUUCUCCUGGGGACGAUGCAGCACCCGACAUCAUUAAUCUCUUGUGGCCAUUCCACUGCCUCCGUCUUCCAGACCCUGGCUGCAGUUCUGGUCCAGGGGGCCAACACAGCCUCCAGGUGGAAGUCGUUGUCUCAGUAUUAA
rnacentral:lncRNA from 1 species